rnacentral:rRNA from 1 species
AUUGAACGCUGGCGGAAUGCUUUACACAUGCAAGUCGAACGGCAGCACGGGGCAACCUGGUGGCGAGUGGCGAACGGGUGAGUAAUACAUCGGAACGUGCCCAAUCGUGGGGGGAUAACGUAGCGAAAGUUACGCUAAUACCGCAUACGAUCUACGGAUGAAAGCGGGGGAUCGCAAGACCUCGCGCGAUUGGAGCGGCCGAUGUCAGAUUAGGUAGUUGGUGGGGUAAAGGCUCACCAAGCCGACGAUCUGUAGCUGGUCUGAGAGGACGACCAGCCACACUGGGACUGAGACACGGCCCAGACUCCUACGGGAGGCAGCAGUGGGGAAUUUUGGACAAUGGGCGCAAGCCUGAUCCAGCCAUUCCGCGUGCAGGAUGAAGGCCUCGGUUGUAAC